rnacentral:rRNA from 1 species
GUCUACGCCAUACCACCUGAACGCGCCCGAUCUCGUCUGAUCUCGAAGCUAAGCAGGGUCGGGCCCGGUUAGUACUUGGAUGGAGACCGCCUGGGAAUACCGGGUGCUGUAGGCU